GCCGGGCGUGGUAGUGCAUGCCUGUAGUCCUAGCUACUCAGGAGGCUGAGGCUGGAGGACCGCUUGAGUCCGGGAGUUCUGGGCUGUCAUGCACUAUGCCGAUCGGGUGUCCGCCAUCAAUAUCAUGACCUCCUGGGAGUGGGGGACCACCAGGUUGCCUAAGGAGGGGUGAACCGGCCCAGGUCGGAAACAGAGCAGGUCAAAACUCCCGUGCUGAUGAGAGAUGCAUGCCAUGCAGGAGCUUUUAUAUCCCAUUGGGUAGCAAU
ensembl:misc_RNA Metazoa_SRP Metazoan signal recognition particle RNA